AUUGAACGCUGGCGGCAGGCCUAACACAUGCAAGUCGAGCGGAUGAAGGGAGCUUGCUCCUGGAUUCAGCGGCGGACGGGUGAGUAAUGCCUAGGAAUCUGCCUGGUAGUGGGGGAUAACGUCCGGAAACGGGCGCUAAUACCGCAUACGUCCUGAGGGAGAAAGUGGGGGAUCUUCGGACCUCACGCUAUCAGAUGAGCCUAGGUCGGAUUAGCUAGUUGGUGGGGUAAAGGCCUACCAAGGCGACGAUCCGUAACUGGUCUGAGAGGAUGAUCAGUCACACUGGAACUGAGACACGGUCCAGGGUCCUACGGGAGGCAGCAGUGGGGAAUAGUGGACAAUGGGCGAAAGCCUGAUCCAGCCAGGCCGCGUGUGUGAAGAAGGUCUUCGGAUUGUAAAGCACUUUAAGUUGGGAGGAAGGGCAGUAAGUUAAUACCUUGCUGUUUUGACGUUACCAACAGAAGAAGCACCGGCUAACUUCGUG
rnacentral:rRNA from 1 species